GCCCGGGUAGCUCAAUCGGUAGAGCGUGUGGCUCUUAUAACUGGAAUAUCUGAUUAUUCUAUCACUAGAACACCUCAAGGUCGUGGGUUCGAGCCCCACCUCGGGCU